UGGUUGUCUACAAAAGGCGCUGGUCCCCAUAUUCUAACAGUGCCAUCAUCAGAGGCGCUGGCCAUCAUGGAUGGAAUCUGCGGGUUCCAGCUCACACAGUUAACAGUACGUGUGUGCCCUGUCAGCUCCGCAAUUGGCAGCUCGCUACGCUUGUGCCAAAUAUAUACUUUGUGAUCUUCGCUGCCACUCGCAAUGAAGUCUUCAUUAUGACCCCCAAAACAUGAGUGAAUUGUGUAAAAUCCUUGUGUAACUCCUUGAUACUUCCUCACUAAAACUCUGUCUUGUAAGUCCCAUAAGUGAACUCCCUGAGUUGCUACAUUUAACAAAGCUAAGCGGCCAUUUUUUGAAAUAGUAAACGACAUUAUAGGGUGAUCUUCUUGUACUAUGUUCCUGUCUGUAAGAUCCUCAAAGUUAUAACCCCGAAUUCGCUGGUGUGUGUCCGACGCUAGAACAGUUUUUCCAUCACUCAAGCACCAAAGGCAUUGUACUCUUACCCCUUCCCAGGAGUCAAGGAGAUUACCAUCUAAGUCACACUGAUAGAACUGUCCACGCUGACCUCCUGUUACAAAACGCUUCCCAUCAGGAUUCCAGGCCACGCUUGUUAAACUGUCUUCAUGAGAUUGGCUCAUUUUUGUCCUCAGCUCCCCAGUUUGUACAUUCCAGAGCCAAAGCUCAGAACAAUCAUCUGGGCCACAGGCAACAAGAUAGUUGUCAUCUGGACUCCAAGCAAUAUAAGAGACUCCAUAUGCGUGACCUUCUAACGUCUUAAGUAGUUUUAGCUGGUGAGUAUCUGGAUCAACCUGCCAUAUAAUAACAGUUGUAUCCUUGGAUCCUGUUGCUAGUUUAGUGCCAUCAUUGGAGAAUUUACAGAACCACACUUCAUUACAGUGCUCCGUUAGUAUCUGCUGUGUAUAGCAAGGGAACUGUUUCCUACUACAAACAUGAUCUAUAAGCAGCGAGACAGAAUCUAGAUUACUAUCUAGUUUGGUAUUAUGAUAUAGGCACCGGUCCCGUUGUAGUUCCACAGCCUGACGUAGCAGGUUCUGUAAACGCCUUGGAGGAAGCAUCACUGAUGGGGGUAGGUAUGUCUGGAGUUUGUCCAAAAGUUUAGAUCUGGAAGCUGUUCCUUU
rnacentral:lncRNA from 1 species